AAGCGGCAACAGCUCAAAUUUGAAAUCCGGCCCUCUUUGGGGGUCCGAGUUGUAAUUUGCAGAGGGUGCUUUGGUGUUGACAGCGGUCUAAGUUCCUUGGAACAGGACGUCACAGAGGGUGAGAAUCCCGUACGUGGCCGCUCGCCUCCGCCGUGUAAAGCCCCUUCGACGAGUCGAGUUGUUUGGGAAUGCAGCUCUAAAUGGGAGGUAAAUUUCUUCUAAAGCUAAAUACUGGCCAGAGACCGAUAGCGCACAAGUAGAGUGAUCGAAAGAUGAAAAGCACUUUGGAAAGAGAGUCAAACAGCACGUGAAAUUGUUGAAAGGGAAGCGCUUGCAGCCAGACUUGCCCGUAGUUGCUCACCCGGACUUUUGCCCGGGGCACUCUUCUGCGGGCAGGCCAGCAUCAGUUUGGGCGACCGGAUAACGGCCUCUGUCAUGUAUCUUCCUCCGGGAUGACCUUAUAGGGGAGGCGUAAUGCGGCCAGCCUGGACUGAGGUCCGCGCUUCGGCUAGGAUGCUGGCGUAAUGGCUGUAAGCGGCCCGUCUUGAAACACGGACCAAGGAGUCUAACAUCUAUGCGAGUGUUUGGGUGUCAAGCCCGGGCGCGUAAUGAAAGUGAACGGAGGUGGGAACCCUUUCGGGGGCGCACCAUCGACCGAUCCUGAUGUCUUCGGAUGGAUUUGAGUAAGAGCAUAGCUGUUGGGACCCGAAAGAUGGUGAACUAUGCUUGAAUAGGGUGAAGCCAGAGGAAACUCUGGUGGAGGCUCGCAGCGGUUCUGACGUGCAAAUCGAUCGUCAAAUUUGGGCAUAGGGGCGAAAGACUAAUCG
rnacentral:rRNA from 1 species